rnacentral:rRNA from 1 species
UACGGGGUGAGCAAGCGUUGUUCGGAUUUACUGGGCGUAAAGGGCGCGUAGGCGGUCGUGACAAGUCACUUGUGAAAUCUCCGGGCUUAACUCGGAACGGUCAAGUGAUACUGUCGGACUAGAGUACAGAAGGGGCAACUGGAAUUCUCGGUGUAGCGGUGAAAUGCGUAGAUAUCGGGAGGAACACCUGUGGCGAAAGCGGCUCACUGGACCACAACUGACGCUGAUGCGCGAAAGCUAGGGGAGCAAACAGG